rnacentral:rRNA from 1 species
CCUACGUGAGACAGCAGUGAGGAAUAUUGGUCAAUGGACGAGAGUCUGAACCAGCCAAGUAGCGUGAAGGAUGACUGCCCUAUGGGUUGUAAACUUCUUUUAUAAAGGAAUAAAACGAGGCACGUGUGCCUUUUUGCAUGUACUUUAUGAAUAAGGAUCGGCUAACUCCGUGCCAGCAGCCGCGGUACUACGGAGGAUCCGAGCGUUAUCCGGAUUUAUUGGGUUUAAAGGGUGCUAAGGCGGAUUUUUAAGUCAGCGGUAAAAUCUUGGGGCUCAACCCCAUCAAGCCGUUGAAACUGGGGAUCUAGAGUGUGCGAGAGGUAUGCGGAAUGCGUGGUGUAGCGGUGAAAUGCAGAGAGAUCACGAAGAACCACGAUUGCGAAGGCAGCAUACCGGUGAACAACUGACGCUCAGGCACGAAAGCGUGGGUAUCGAACAGGAUUAGAUACCCGUGUAGUC